UACGGGGGGAGCUAGCGUUGUUCGGAAUUACUGGGCGUAAAGCGCACGUAGGCGGCUUUGUAAGUUAGAGGUGAAAGCCCGGAGCUCAACUCCGGAACUGCCUUUAAGACUGCAUCGCUUGAAUCCAGGAGAGGUGAGUGGAAUUCCGAGUGUAGAGGUGAAAUUCGUAGAUAUUCGGAAGAACACCAGUGGCGAAGGCGGCUCACUGGACCGGUAUUGACGCUGAGGUGCGAAAGCGUGGGGAGCAAACAGG
rnacentral:rRNA from 1 species